rnacentral:rRNA from 1 species
AUGGCGUUUGUCAGGUCCGCGGCGCUCAAGGCCGCCGUGGACCUACGCAUCUCCGACGCCAUCCACCGCCACGAAGGUGCCGCCACCUUGUCCGACAUUGCCACCUAG